UACGUAGGGGGCAAGCGUUGUCCGGAUUUAUUGGGCGUAAAGCGCGCGUAGGCGGCAAGGUGUGUCGUGCGUAAAAUCUCCCGGCUUAACUGGGAGGCGCCGUGCGAAACUGCCUCGCUUGAGGUCGGAAGGGGAGAGUGGAAUUCCCGGUGUAGUGGUGGAAUACGUAGAUAUCGGGAGGAACACCAGUGGCGAAGGCGGCUCUCUGGUCCGAUUCUGACGCUGAGGUGCGAAAGCGUGGGGAGCGAUCCGG
rnacentral:rRNA from 1 species